rnacentral:rRNA from 1 species
UYUAAAUUAAAAAAAAUUUACUAAAUUAGUAAUUGAUAGUUCUUGAAAUUUAAAGAUUUUGGCGGUAUUUUAACUUUUCAGAGGAACCUGUUCUAUAAUUGAUAAUCCACGAUUAAUACUACUUUAUUUAGAAAUUUGUAUAUCGUCGUUGUUGAAUAUGUUAAAAGAAUAAAUAUUCAAUUUAUUUAAAGAAAAAAUAAUUCAGAUCAAGGUGCAGUUUAUAUUAAAGAAGAAAUGGGUUACAAUAAAUUUAUUUAUGAAUAAAAAAUUAAAAAUUUUUUUAAAAUUGGAUUUGAGAGUAAUUAUAAAUAUAUUUUUAUAAUGAUAAAGCUCUAAAAUAUGC